GAUAAACGCUGGCGGCGUGCCUAAUACAUGCAAGUCGAUCGGUGGAUUGCCAGCUUGCUGGUAAGAAGCAGAGGCGAACGGGUGAGUAAUACAUAAGCAACCUGCCCACGAAGACUGGGAUAAUCCCUGGAAACGGGGACUAAUACCGGAUAGGUAACGGAGAGGCAUCUUUCUGUUAUUAAAGGUUAAAAACACUGGUGGAUGGGCUUAUGGCGCAUUAGCUUGUUGGUGAGGUAACGGCUCACCAAGGCGAUGAUGCGUAGCCGGCCUGAGAGGGUGAACGGCCACAUUGGGACUGAGACACGGCCCAGACUCC
rnacentral:rRNA from 1 species